AUCCAGACUCCUACGGGAGGCAGCAGUGGGGAAUAUUGCACAAUGGGGGAAACCCUGAUGCAGCGACGCCGCGUGAGCGAUGAAGUAUUUCGGUAUGUAAAGCCCUAUCAGCAGGGAAGAAAAUGACGGUACCUGACUAAGAAGCCCCGGCUAACUACGUGCCAGCAGCCGCGGUAAUACGUAGGGGGCAAGCGUUAUCCGGAUUUACUGGGUGUAAAGGGAGCGUAGACGGCAAUGCAAGCCAGAUGUGAAAGCCCGGGGCUCAACCCCGGGACUGCUCUUGGAACUGCGUGGCUGGAGUGCAGGAGGGGCAGGCGGAAUUCCUGGUGUAGCGGUGAAAUGCGUAGAUAUCAGGAGGAACACCGGUGGCGAAGGCGGCCUGCUGGACUGCAACUGACGUUGAGGCCCGAAAGCGUGGGGAGCAAACAGGAUUAGAUACCCCCGUAUG
rnacentral:rRNA from 1 species